rnacentral:rRNA from 1 species
AAUGAACGCUGGCGGCAGGCCUAACACAUGCAAGUCGAACGGAUCCUUCGGGAUUAGUGGCGGACGGGUGAGUAACGCGUGGGAACAUACCCUUUGGUACGGAGUAGCCUCGGGAAACUGGGAGUAAUACCGUAUGUGGUCGAGAGACGAAAGAUUUAUCGCCAAAGGAUUGGCCCGCGUUGGAUUAGGUAGUUGGUGGGGUAAUGGCCUACCAAGCCGACGAUCCAUAGCUGGUUUGAGAGGAUGAUCAGCCACACUGGGACUGAGACACGGCCCAGACUCCUACGGGAGGCAACAGUGGGGAAUCUUAGACAAUGGGGGAAACCCUGAUCUAGCCAUGCCGCGUGAUCGAUGAAGGCCUUAGGGUUGUAAAGAUCUUUCAGGUGGGAAGAUAAUGACUGUACCACCAGAAGAAGCCCCGGCUAACUCCGUGCCAGCCGCCCGGUAA